rnacentral:rRNA from 1 species
AUCGAUGAAGAACGCAGCGAAAUGCGAUAAGUAAUGUGAAUUGCAGAAUUCAGUGAAUCAUCGAAUCUUUGAACGCACAUUGCGCCCCCUGGUAUUCCGGGGGGCACACCUGUUCGAGCGCCAUUUCAACCCUCAAGCCCAGCUUGGUGAUGGACCCCGCCCGCGGGCGGGUCCGAAACUCGCAGGCGCCUCCUCCCGGCUUCAAGCGUAGCAAAACCCUCGCUUGGGCGCCCGGGCGGCGGCAGCCCCGAACGAAUACUCACAAUGGUUGGCCUCGGAUCAGGUGGGGAUACCCGCUGAACUUAAGCAUAUCAAUAAGCGGAGGAAAAGAAACCAACAGGGAUUGCCUCAGUAACGGCGAGUGAAGCGGCAACAGCUCAAAUUUGAAAUCUGGCCCCUUCGGGGUCCGAGUUGUAAUUUGCAGAGGGUGCUUCGGUGGAAGCCCCGGCCCAAGUCCCUUGGAACAGGACGUCAGAGAGGGUGAGAACCCCGUGUCCGGCCGGUGGCGCUCCCCGCGUGAAGCCCCUUCGACGAGUCGAGUUGUUUGGGAAUGCAGCUCUAAAUUGGUGGUAAAUUCCAUCUAAAGCUAAAUACCGGCCAGAGACCGAUAGCGCACAAGUAGAGUGAUCGAAAGAUGAAAAGCACUUUGAAAAGAGAGUCAAAAAGUACGUGAAAUUGUUGAAAGGGAAGCGCUUGCGGCCAGACUCGCCCGCGGUUGCUCAGCCCGCCUUCUGGCGGGUGCACUCUUCCGCGGUCGGGCCAGCAUCGGUUCGGGCGGCCGGACAAAGGCCCGGGGAACGUGGCCCCCUUCGGGGGGUGUUAUAGCCCCGGGUGCAAUGCGGCCAGCCGGGACCGAGGAUCGCGCUCUGCUAGGAUGCUGGCGUAAUGGCCGUAAGCGGCCCGUCUUGAAACACGG